rnacentral:lncRNA from 1 species
CGCCGCGCUCGCAGUUUAAUCUUAUCAAGCUGAAAACAGUAUAAAUACGGAUUCGAGAUCUCUGUUCAGGCAUAACACAUCUUUUUGUGCAAUUUUAUUCUUUGGUGAGUACACACAUCUUUAUAGUAUACUUACGAGAACGAAUACAAUUUAUUUUCUAUUCGGUUAAUUUUAUUAUUGUUUUUUUUUUUUAUUCCUGUUUGUAGUCUUCACUUCGUUUCACGAAAACAAAACCAAAAAUCAAAAAUGGGCGCUGAAAAGGUAUCCAUGAACAUCGUUGUCGUCGGACAAGUCCAAUCUGCCAAGGCCAUCAAAACCGUCGCCAAGGCCACCCCAGCCACCAGCCAAUUGAUGGUAAAUCUAUUCACCAUUACUGUUUUUAUAUCCGUACUUAUCAAUUAUUACCCAUACUCGUUAAAUUGCUGUCGUUUUUUUAUAAAGUGACAUUCAGAAUCGAUAAUUUUUCGGCAAAUAUUUAAAAAUUAUUACGAAAAGAUAAAAACAUUCACAUUUGUUUGGUACAUUUUUCAAUGAUGUAUGCUUUAAUUGUUUUUUCUCCUGGUAAUACAUUUUAGUAGGUAUAAUGUUUUUUUCUAACUCGAUAUCAAAACGCGGUGAUUUGAUUAAAUUAUUGAUCGUUUAAUUAAUUAUCGUUUUUUUUUUUAAUAUUUUAAAAUAUUAAAUAACUGAAUAACCAAAUGUGUCGGUUAUCGAACAUAAUUCUCAAUUUUUUUCAUUUUUCAGUACAAUAUAUUUUUAAAAACGAGAAUAAUUUAUCAUACUUUAUACACAUAUUUCAACGUUUUGAAUAUUUUAUUUUUUCUUUUCCUUUGCAUACUAUUUUUGAUAGGUACUUAUACUAUACAGUAAUUGGCAAUUUAUAAAUAUUAUACCUACCUAACGUAAACCUUCUUGUCUCAUAUAAUUUAUUUAUUUAUUUUGUUUUUUUUUUUCAGACCUGUUAAUUUCAUGUAGUCCAUACAUUGCAAACUCAAAAAUGCCAUAGUCCAAACAAUGCGUAUUAUGUAUAUAAUUAUUAAUAAUAUGUAUAAUAUGUAUUGACACCUCAAAAUAAACCAGUCUAAUCCGUUAUUUCAUGUUUUUUUUUUGUUUUUUUU